GGCCGUGUGGCCCAAUGGCAAGGCGCUUGACUACGAAUCAAGAGAUUCCAGGUUCGACCCCUGGCACGGUCA